rnacentral:tRNA from 1 species
ACCUUCGUCGUGUAUUGGUCAGCACGCUCGACGCGUAUUCGAGAGAUUCGUGGUUCGAGUCCCGGCGAGGGCA